AGAGUUUGAUCCUGGCUCAGGACGAACGCUGGCGGCGUGCCUAAUACAUGCAAGUCGAACGAAGCUUUCUUUCACCGAAUGCUUGCAUUCACCGAAAGAAGCUUAGUGGCGAACGGGUGAGUAACACGUAGGCAACCUGCCCAAAAGAGGGGGAUAACACUUGGAAACAGGUGCUAAUACCGCAUAACCAUGAACACCGCAUGAUGUUCAUGUAAAAGACGGCUUUUGCUGUCACUUUUGGAUGGGCCUGCGGCGUAUUAACUUGUUGGUGGGGUAACGGCCUACCAAGGUGAUGAUACGUAGCCGAACUGAGAGGUUGAUCGGCCACAUUGGGACUGAGACACGGCCCAAACUCCUACGGGAGGCAGCAGUAGGGAAUCUUCCACAAUGGACGAAAGUCUGAUGGAGCAACGCCGCGUGAAUGAAGAAGGCCUUCGGGUCGUAAAAUUCUGUUGUCAGAGAAGAACGUGCGUGAGAGUAACUGUUCACGUAUUGACGGUAUCUGACCAGAAAGCCACGGCUAACUACGUGCCAGCAGCCGCGGUAAUACGUAGGUGGCGAGCGUUGUCCGGAUUUAUUGGGCGUAAAGGGAACGCAGGCGGUCUUUUAAGUCUGAUGUGAAAGCCUUCGGCUUAACCGAAGUAGUGCAUUGGAAACUGGAAGACUUGAGUGCAGAAGAGGAGAGUGGAACUCCAUGUGUAGCGGUGAAAUGCGUAGAUAUAUGGAAGAACACCAGUGGCGAAAGCGGCUCUCUGGUCUGUAACUGACGCUGAGGUUCGAAAGCGUGGGUAGCAAACAGGAUUAGAUACCCUGGUAGUCCACGCCGUAAACGAUGAGUGCUAAGUGUUGGAGGGUUUCCGCCCUUCAGUGCUGCAGCUAACGCAUUAAGCACUCCGCCUGGGGAGUACGGUCGCAAGACUGAAACUCAAAGGAAUUGACGGGGGCCCGCACAAGCGGUGGAGCAUGUGGUUUAAUUCGAAGCAACGCGAAGAACCUUACCAGGUCUUGACAUCGAUCUAAAGGCUCCAGAGAUGGAGAGAUAGCUAUAGAGAAGACAGGUGGUGCAUGGUUGUCGUCAGCUCGUGUCGUGAGAUGUUGGGUUAAGUCCCGCAACGAGCGCAACCCCUGUUGCCAGUUGCCAGCAUUAAGUUGGGGACUCUGGCGAGACUGCCGGUGACAAGCCGGAGGAAGGCGGGGAUGACGUCAAAUCAUCAUGCCCCUUAUGACCUGGGCUACACACGUGCUACAAUGGACAGAGCAGAGGGAAGCGAAGCCGCGAGGUGGAGCGAAACCCAGAAAACUGUUCUCAGUUCGGACUGCAGUCUGCAACUCGACUGCACGAAGUUGGAAUCGCUAGUAAUCGCGAAUCAGCAUGUCGCGGUGAAUACGUUCUCGGGCCUUGUACACACCGCCCGUCACACCAUGAGAGUCGGUAACACCCGAAGCCGGUGGCCUAACCGCAAGGAAGGAGCUGUCUAAGGUGGGACUGAUGAUUGGGGUGAAGUCGUAACAAGGUAUCCCUACGGGAACGUGGGGAUG
rnacentral:rRNA from 1 species